CUUGGUCAUUUAGAGGAAGUAAAAGUCGUAACAAGGUUUCCGUAGGUGAACCUGCGGAAGGAUCAUUACUAGAGCAAAGGAUAGACAGCGCCCGCGGAGCUUGCUCCCUGGGGCUACCCUACUUCGGUAGGGUUUAGAGUCGUCGGGCCUCUCGCAGAAGCUCGGUCCUGAACUCCACCCUUGAAUAAAUUACCUUUGUUGCUUUGGCGGGCCGCCUCGUGCCAGCGGCUUCGGCUGUUGCGUGCCCGCCAGAGGACCACAACUCUUGUUUUUAGUGAUGUCUGAGUACUAUAUAAUAGUUAAAACUUUCAACAACGGAUCUCUUGGUUCUGGCAUCGAUGAAGAACGCAGCGAAAUGCGAUAAGUAAUGUGAAUUGCAGAAUUCAGUGAAUCAUCGAAUCUUUGAACGCACAUUGCGCCCUCUGGUAUUCCGGGGGGCAUGCCUGUUCGAGCGUCAUUAUAACCACUCAAGCUCUCGCUUGGUAUUGGGGUUCGCGGUCUCGCGGCCCCUAAAAUCAGUGGCGGUGCCUGUCGGCUCUACGCGUAGUAAUACUCCUCGCGAUUGAGUCCGGUAGGUUUACUUGCCAGCAACCCCUAAUUUUUACAGGUUGACCUCGGAUCAGGUAGGGAUACCCGCUGAACUUAAGCAUAUCAAUAAGCGGAGGAAAAGAAACCAACAGGGAUUACCUCAGUAACGGCGAGUGAAGCGGUAACAGCUCAAAUUUGAAAGCUGGCUCUUUUAGGGUCCGCGUUGUAAUUUGUAGAAGAUGCUUCGGGUGUAGCUCCGGUCUAAGUUCCUUGGAACAAGACGUCAUAGAGGGUGAGAAUCUCGUAUGUGACUGGGUGCUUUCGCUCAUGUGAAGCUCUUUCGACGAGUCGAGUUGUUUGGGAAU
rnacentral:sRNA from 1 species